GGGCCCUGAAAUUGCCCGGUGCAACGGCCACCUGUCCUUAACAGCCUUCUUUAACGCCACCUCUAUAGCUACACAAAUACCAUGCAGGACGAAAAACCACGUGACUUCCCACGUGGGACUCACACGCGUUAUAUAAAAGUAAAUGACCUCGUGCAUCCAACCCGACACUACAAACGUCGCUAUGACAGCUGGCAGCGAAGACCAUGCCGGCCCAAAUAAGCGCUUUGAAAACUGGCGUGUAGGAUAGUAUACGGUGGGCCGAAGAAUACUGGUGACCAUGAGGUUCCAUCUACGACCCCAAAAGUCUUGCAGAGAUGUGGCAAGGUAAGGCUCGUUGAACUGUGGCUCGAGCUCGAACCCAAAAAGAGCUCGAGCGGGGGUUGCUGAUAUGGCUAGGACGAGUUCUAGCUGUUAGUACAUGUGCAAGCAAAAGAUAGCUAAGAUGAGGUGGGGGGGAAGGAAUUGUCUGUU
rnacentral:misc_RNA from 1 species